rnacentral:rRNA from 1 species
GAUGAACGCUGGCGGCGUGCUUAACACAUGCAAGUCGAACGAUGAAGCCCAGCUUGCUGGGUGGAUUAGUGGCGAACGGGUGAGUGACACGUGAGCAACCUGCCCCUGACUCUGGGAUAAGCGCUGGAAACGGCGUCUAAUACUGGAUAUGUCCCGUCACCGCAUGGUGUGCGGGUGGAAAGAUUUUUCGGUUGGGGAUGGGCUCGCGGCCUAUCAGCUUGUUGGUGAGGUAAUGGCUCACCAAGGCGUCGACGGGUAGCCGGCCUGAGAGGGUGACCGGCCACACUGGGACUGAGACACGGCCCAGACUCCUACGGGAGGCAGCAGUGGGGAAUAUUGCACAAUGGGCGGAAGCCUGAUGCAGCAACGCCGCGUGAGGGAUGACGGCCUUCGGGUUGUAAACCUCUUUUAGCAGGGAAGAAGCGAAAGUGACGGUACCUGCAGAAAAAGCACCGGCUAACUACGUG